rnacentral:rRNA from 1 species
CAGCAGCCGCGGGAAUACGGAGGGAGCUAGCGUUGUUCGGAAUUACUGGGCGUAAAGCGCGCGUAGGCGGUUACUCAAGUCAGAGGUGAAAGCCCGGGGCUCAACCCCGGAACUGCCUUUGAAACUAGGUGACUAGAAUCUUGGAGAGGUCAGUGGAAUUCCGAGUGUAGAGGUGAAAUUCGUAGAUAUUCGGAAGAACACCAGUGGCGAAGGCGACUGACUGGACAAGUAUUGACGCUGAGGUGCGAAAGCGUGGGGAGCAAACAGGAUUAGAUACCCGGGUAGUCCCUGUCUCUUAUAU